CUAGUAGGCAUCAUCGGUCAACCCGAUGCCCAUCGCAUAAUAUAAGAAAUCGACUAGCAAGAAACAUGCAAUAAGACUGUUCAUUCCUCCACCUUUAUAUUUUCGUGAGACUUAAACAUAUACUAGUACACUAGACUCUAACCCCUUACUCGAUCCAUCCUUGAUCCUAGCUUAACCAUUCUAUCUCUUAUAGGAGUUUUCGGAUGUAACCACUACCAACCCGGCCGACCACUCACGACACACCCAUACUUCUUCCACGUCACCACUCGACCCUUGACCCCAUAGUAUGUUCUAUCAAGGCUUGUUAACCAUUUCAACCCAACUAUUAAUAUUGACGGCAUAACCCACCCCAAUUCUUAACGACAAUACACAUCACCACCUAUCUAAAUAACGAAUGAUAACACCGGGACCCUUGGUCCCCACUUACCAUACCACCUCCCGAUUUGGGCCUGGCCGUUAAUUGUUCAUUUACAUUAGCCAGAUAUACCCAAUUAUCUUACGACACCAACAGUCCACGCAUGUAUAUAUACGUGCAAUCCAAUUAUUAGUUUGAGAACAACAUACAUAUCCACAUUAUCAAUAACAAGCAUAUAUGAAGAUAUCAAUCACAAGUGGUCCUCUCACGAAACCCACGUCCAAACUGUUAGUGUGCCGGAACGUGACACCCGAUCCAAUGCAUGUAUAUGUGUUAGUACGUGAUACCCGAUCCAAUGUAUGUUAGUGUGCCGGAACGUGACACUUGAUCCAAUGCAUGUUAGUGUGUCGGUACGUGACACCCGAUCCAAUGCAUGUUAGUGUGUCUGUACGUGAUACCCUGUCCAAUCAGCACAAUCACAAUCACAAUCACAUCUAUAACACACAUACUUAUGGCCAUACAAUUAAGUAUUAGGUUCAUGGCAUGCAAUUGUACAUAUUCAGUCUUUUCAUUAGGUACGAUCCAUGAUAUCUCUAAUCCCAUACACGUAUGCAUAUCACGAAACCAUUAACAAGUUUAUAUCACACAACAGAAAAUCAAACCAUCACGUAACCCUAGUUCACGGGGUAGGGCUUCCUCCUAUGGUAUACGUCUGAUGUAACAGCUAGGAAUAUACGUAUAGUCAUCUUUUUUUCGGUGCACAAAAGCCUACAUAUGAAUUCUACCGUCAAUUACCAAUAUACUACGCAGUGAGUCACGGAUUUAUAACUACUCAAUUAAUAAACCUAACCUACAUGGGCGCCAAGCAUUCACAGAGGGAUUGUAGCUCAAAAUCUGGUUUCUGAAUGACGGGACGGUGAAUCUUGACCAGAAGUCCGCAAUCUAUCGACCUCCUUAUGCUAGAAAUCUCUUUCUCCUUCCUUCCCAAGCCUAGAGAAGCCUUUUGAGGGUUUCUGGGGUGAUUUUCGCCUCUUUUUGGUGUUUUUUGGAAAAAGGAGAAAAUCAGACUUCGCGUUAUUUACAUUCUGUCUCGUCCAUCCGCUCUGGAAGCCACUUAUCCCGCUAGAGCGUCGCCGCCCUGGCGGCAUCUGGCCCGCUCUGGAAGGCCGAGAGACCCAGUUUUUCCCGAUAUUUUUCCUUCUUAAUUAACAAUGGUUCGGGUCGUUACACGUACCGACACCAUCUAACUUCGACUUUCUCUCAUUUAAUUUGUGGUUUAUUUAUUGGGCGCACUAUUUGCAGCCAUAAUCACUAUUAUUUUCAAAUUAAUUGUUGUUAGGUAAAUGAAAACUUUUUUUAUUUUUGAAGAUCUCUCCUGUACCUUUUUUUUGGAAACAUGUGUACACUAUGUUCAAAUAUCCAAUCAUUUGAGGAGUUGCUUCAGACAGUUAGCUAUUCUGUAAAACUUUAAUAUAAAAAAAAGCUAUAUCACACUUUUUUUCUCCAUAAGGCAUUGCCACUUGAACAGUCUUUGCACCGAAGAGGGAGGAAUUCAUUGAAUCAGGAAUAUAUCAAGUAUAAAACUUGGCUCAUCUUUUGUGUAACAUGUCAUGUACACUCUUUAUGCUAUCUGUAUCUUUUUUUUUGUGUAAAAGAUCUUCUCAUGAGAUAUCCUAGUAAAUCAAUUACAUAUUAGAUCAACCUGCAAGUUGGGAAGUUUUUGAAUGAUUCUUGUUCUUGUAAAUACUCUUUUGAGUUGAGCUUUGUACUAAUUUUCUUCAUAUGGUUGAAGUUGCCAUUUUUAUCAUCGUGCAAGUUUGGAAGUUUUUCCAUGAAUCUAGGAGUUCUCUUGGAAUUUUCUGUGUAAUCAGGUUUCGGUUAGAUCUAUCUUCUUUCUCCCCUUCCUCCAAAUGGGAGUAGAGCUGUCGAUUUUGAUGACAUGAUCUUACAUUUUUCACAAAGCUGCAACUGUCUUUGGUGGUUUGGAGUUGAUAUCUCUACUUAAUCUUGUAGUCAAUUGUUUUGUCCCGCUGCCCUCUAUAAAUAUCCCUGCUUGGUUACAAUGGGGAGGGUUGGCAACUCGAGUUCCUUUCUCCUGCCGGUUGUCUUAUAUGAUCUGGUAGUCUUUAAUUUUUUCCCUGAUGCAGGUUUCUGCUCUUUGGUUGUGGCAUUUGGAAGUUUGGGUGGCGGGGUCAAGGAUUUUUUUUUUUGAGGUUUCUGCCAUAGUGCAACUAGUCUUGUGUGUUCAUUUUCCUGAUGACCGGAGACGGUUGAUGAUUUUUGGGUAUUUAAAGAAUCGGAUAUGUAUGGAUUUGUUGUUGUUGUUAUAUCUCUAAGUCCUUUGAUUUUGCUAUAUAGUUAUGGAAUGAGAAGACCUGUCAAUUGCAGAAAUGAAGUCUGGCAGAAUGCUUGGUCUCCUGUGCCGGAAUGCUUGGUCUCCUGUGCUGGAAGUGAGAUUCAAAUGGUUAGUGUUUACCUGAUAAGUUCGUUCAUGAUGUGUCGAACAAUGUUACAGUUGUGAGAUGAAACACUAGAUCCCUUAUACUAUGUGACUUACGUGGGAGUGCAACAGGAAGCACAUUCAUGGAUUGAUAGAUGUUUCAAACAAUAAUUAAUGGGGGAUUAGAAAAUGUUGUGAUACCAUAUGUCAGGCUACUCCAAGCAGUAUCCAUGUUGUCGUGUGAGGUACAUAUUCUAAGCAUCGUCUGUAUGGCUGUUUAAUAUUCUAGAAAUUAAAAGGUUGUGUUUCAUACUAGAGAGGGGCAUAGAAGGAGGUGAGAUGUCAUCAUCACAUAGUACUUAGCAUUUAUGUUUGAGCAUGUUGCUUAUGAUGUCCUUUUAGUCUUUUUUUCUGAUGCAUUAUUAGAGUUGUACAUAAAAUUUAAGAUUAUCACGUCUAAUUAGCUUAUUUUUGGUUGAUCCUUAUAUGAGGAGCAUGUCUAAUAUAUUACAUGAUGUAUUACUAAAGAGAAAACAUUGCAUAUCCACGAAAAUCAUCAUGACUGGCUCUUUCCAAGGGUAAAUCUAUCUUGUCCGCUGGGAUCGAACUACAUGUGCGAAAUCGAUGUAUCAAUGUCGGUGUGGCUUGGUCAAGCAUUAAAUACAUGGACAACAACUAACUUAAGUUAAACAGGAGAUUUAGUCAAAGUAUAA